CCUACGGGGGGCUGCAGUGGGGAAUAUUGGACAAUGGGGGCAACCCUGAUCCAGCCAUGCCGCGUGUGUGAAGAAGGCCCUCGGGUUGUAAAGCACUUUCAGUGAGGAAGAACGCCUGGUGGUUAAUACCCAUCAGGAAAGACAUCACUCACAGAAGAAGCACCGGCUAACUCCGUGCCAGCAGCCGCGGUAAUACGGAGGGUGCGAGCGUUAAUCGGAAUUACUGGGCGUAAAGCGCGCGUAGGUGGCUUGAUAAGCCGGUUGUGAAAGCCCCGGGCUCAACCUGGGAACGGCAUCCGGAACUGUGAAGCUAGAGUGCGCGAGAGGAAGGUAGAAUUCGCGGUGUAGCGGUGAAAUGCGUAGAGAUCGGGAGGAAUACCAGUGGCGAAGGCGGCCUUCUGGACUGACACUGACACUGAGGUGCGAAAGCGUGGGUAGCAAACAGGAUUAGAUACCCCUGUAGUC
rnacentral:rRNA from 1 species